GGUUUGCUGGGCUGGAAUUCAAGGACACCACGCAGGGAGUCGCUCGCCAUCUGUAGGAACCGGUUGUCACUCAGGGCCGUCCCUCCACGUCACAGGCUCCAGGACGUCAGAGACUGUAAAGCACAGAGAAGAAACACAACCAGGACGACCCACGCGAUGGCUUGCCGCCUGGUCGCACGCGCGUUCGGAUGGAGUGUUUUGUGGAGGCACAAGCACCAGCUGUGCGGGGGAGGCAGCCCUGCCCUCGGGGAGCUCUCGGUUCUGCGGAGAAAACUGCCUCCAUAGCGCCCGAUGCUGCUGAGAGUCGGAGGUGGGGUGCAGGGGGUCCCUCAGCGUCUGAAUCCCAAGAACCGGCUGAGCAGGAGCAGGUCUGCGGCCACACCCUGAAGCACCGUGUUUGACCCCAGAGCUGGCCCUUCACCUCACAAAGCACAAUGUGCUUAUUAAAUCUGUCUUA